UCAUCGGGUCUGCUCUGCUGGCACUGCAACAACUAUCUGGAAUAAAUGAUGUUUUCUAUUUCUCUUCAACUGUCUUCAAAAGUGCUGGAGUACCUUCAGAUGUCGCAAACAUGUCUGUUGGAGUAGUCAACUUAUCAGGUUCAAUUAUUGCAAUGAUUUUAAUGGAUAAACUCGGUCGAAAAGGUCUUCUUCUUGGAAGUUUCAUGGGCAUGGCAAUGUCAAUGGGCAUGCAAGCAGUUGCAGGAAGUUCCUUGGUUUCAGGGUCUUCAGUGGUGUUACUCUCUGUUGGUGGUGUUCUACU